UUCAAUUUUCACCGCAAAAAAGUAUUCUCCUACUUUUGUUCGUCCAUAACUUCUCAACUUCUCAAAUCUCUGUGUUUUUUUUCCCAAAAAUUUGUUCUUCAGUACCCAAAAAGAUGGUUUACGAAUGUCAAUCUCAUCAAAGAUUGCCAAAAAUUACAAAAGUGAAAUCAACUCUAUUACAGUGAAUUGUUGAAUGAACUUUUAAUGCGAUGACGGACCAAUUGAUUAUGUCAAGGAAGGAGAAUUUUGGUGGACACAUUAUCAAGUAAUAAAGAUUUCUAUUUCGGGAGUAAAUAGCAGACUAUUAGACAAGCCUAUGGAAGCUGCUGAAAUUGCAGAUAAUAUGGAAGAGACUGAAUAUAUGAUUUCAAGGAAGGAACCCAUGGAGUAUAGCAUUGAAGAUAUGUUACAUUCAAAGGUUCACAUGGAGCAGAGACUGCUCUUCUUUCUUCUGUAUGUUUGCUAUUCUACUUCCUCAUUUUGUCAUGACAUUAAAUAGUGAGCAAAUGGUCUGGGUGAUAUUGUCGGUUGGUUCCGAGUCCUUAUUAAAAGUGUCUCUCCAUCUAUGCAUGUCAAUGUUUGAUCCUUAAGUCUUCUGUAAGUAGUAUUUUUUCUAUUUCAUUGUACUAAUAUUUUUGUGGGUUUUUCUAUGAUAUGUUCAGUACAAUUGCUAAUUAGCAAACUUGGUCCAUUGAUUUUCUUAAGACAUUUCAUAUGCUGCAGGUACCCUGCAGGGAAUUGUCUUUACUUUUUUUUCUUCACUUUUUGGUUAUUUUGAAAGAUCAAACCUAACGAACUUUACUGUUUGUGGAAAUGCCAAGCAGAAACUCAUCACAAUUUUUCAUAUUUUUGAUAUGUUUGUUGCAGAUUGAUCAAAUUGUACCCAGAUGUAUUUUUUAUUGAUUCAUGAAUUGGUUUAGUCGGUUGGUUGCGGCAGGAUGCCUGGAAUACAGUAGAAUUUUAUUGAUGAGCUUGAUAGAGUCUCUGGAAAGGUGUUGUGAUAAUUAAGGAAGGGGUUAGCUGAAACUAGAGAACUUGGGGUAUGGUUCACUUAUACUACCUCGCGGAGCAAACGGGAAACCAAUUAUUCGUGAUCAUGUUGGAGAAUAGAAGGUGGGAAAUUGGUUGCAUCCACACGGCAUAUGCAUCCUGUUUCACUUAGGUACAGGUCAAAAUGGAGGUGUUUAUGCUCUUGGAACUUUAGGACUGGGUCCUUUGUACAGGUCCUACUCAUCGUCUUCUACCGAACACUAUCUUUUUUUUGCUUUGGGUUUAUCUUCCUUCGUAAUUUUUACAAGAUCCUAUUGCUUUGAUAGACUAGCUGUAGUUGUAGCUACAGCUCCACAGAAAUAUUUUCCUCUGGAUUUUUCAUGGUAGAGCAACUUAUCAAGCAUUUAACCAAGUCUUGAUGGAAACAAGCUUUUCUUGGAAAACAGGGAGCUGGAAAUUGUUCUUUACGCUCAUAAUAUAGGUUACAAUUACAUCCUGUUUUUGUUAUUAUAAGCCAUUUUAUAACACUAUUAACGCCUGCCUGUUGAAAUACGAGGUCUGUAAAUAUCACGAGCUUAGUAUGAGUUUAUUUAUUAGAUAUCCAAAAGAUAUAAAUUAUUCUGCAACGGAUCCUCUGUACUUCAAAUGGGGAAACUUGCUUCUUACUAGACAUGUAGAUCUUCUUACUAGACAUGUAGAUCCUCUGUGCCGUCAAGCAUCUAUUCGAGACAGCAAGAAUCAGGUGAUGGGAAAGAAGCUGGAGUAGUUUUGGAAAAGAAAUCCAGAAGAGUAACAUGUGAGCUUGAUUCAUUCAAUGAUUGCAUUAAUGAUGAAUGGAAGAUAUCAUUAUUUAUAGUUGUACUAGAAGCAGUUUUUUUUUUUUGAGAUUCAACAUCCUACUCCUGCACAGGUCAAGGACAUGUAUUUAAGUGUGAAGGUGUGUUAUUUAAUCAUGUAAUGGAAAUUUUUUA